CUACCCUUGACAUGUACGGAAGCCCGAUGAGAGUUGGGUGUGCCCGAAAGGGAGCCGUAACACAGGUGCUGCAUGGCUGUCGUCAGCUCGUGUCGUGAGAUGUUGGGUUAAGUCCCGCAACGAGCGCAACCCUUGUCAUUAGCUGCUACAUUCAGUUGGGCACUCUAAUGAGACUGCCGGUGACAAACCGGAGGAAGGUGGGGAUGACGUCAAGUCCUCAUGGCCCUUAUGGGUAGGGCUUCACACGUAAUACAAUGGCCGGUACAGAGGGCAGCCAACCCGCGAGGGGGAGCUAAUCCCAGAAAGCCGGUCGUAGUCCGGAUUGUUCUCUGCAACUCGAGAGCAUGAAGUCGGAAUCGCUAGUAAUCGCGGAUCAGCAUGCCGCGGUGAAUACGUUCCC
rnacentral:rRNA from 1 species